rnacentral:rRNA from 1 species
UACGGGGGGAGCAAGCGUUGUUCGGAUUUACUGGGCGUAAAGGGCGCGUAGGCGGCCUGUGCAAGUCAGUUGUGAAAUCUCCGGGCUUAACUCGGAACGGUCAACUGAUACUGCUCGGCUAGAGUGCGGAAGGGGCAAUCGGAAUUCCUGGUGUAGCGGUGAAAUGCGCAGAUAUCAGGAGGAACACCAGCGGCGAAGGCGGCGCUCUGGGCCGGUACUGACACUGAGGAGCGAAAGCGUGGGUAGCAAACAGG